rnacentral:rRNA from 1 species
GACGUAGGGGGCCAGCGUUGCUCGGAAUUACUGGGCGUAAAGGGUCCGUAGGCGGUGCGGUAAGUCGGGCGUGAAAUCUCUGGGCUUAACUCAGAGGCUGCUUCCGAAACUGCCGUGCUAGAGUGCGAGAGAGGCAAGUGGAAUUGCGGGUGUAGCGGUGAAAUGCGUAGAUAUCCGCAGGAACAUCCGAGGCGAAAGCGGCUUGCUGGAUCGCAACUGACGCUGAGGGACGAAAGCUAGGGGAGCAAACAGG